rnacentral:rRNA from 1 species
UACGUAGGGUGCAAGCGUUGUCCGGAAUUAUUGGGCGUAAAGAGCUCGUAGGCGGUUUGUCACGUCGGAUGUGAAACCCCGGGGCUCAACCCCGGGCCUGCAUUCGAUACGGGCAGACUAGAGUUCGGCAGGGGAGACUGGAAUUCCUGGUGUAGCGGUGAAAUGCGCAGAUAUCAGGAGGAACACCGGUGGCGAAGGCGGUUCUCUGGGAAUGACCUGACGCUGAGGAGCGAAAGUGUGGGGAGCGAACAGG